rnacentral:rRNA from 1 species
AUUGAACGCUAGCGGGAUGCUUUACACAUGCAAGUCGAACGAGUGGCGGACGGGUGAGUAAUAUAUCGGAACGUGCCCCGUAGCGGGGGAUAACUACUCGAAAGAGUGGCUAAUAACGCAUACUAUUGGAGCGGCCGAUAUCGGAAUAGCUAGUGGGUGGGGUAAAGGCUCACCAAGGCACCGAUCCGUAGCUGGUUUGAGAGGACGACCAGCCACACUGGGACUGAGACACGGCUCAGACUCCUACGGGAGGCAGCAGUGGGGAAUUGUGGACAAUGGGGGAAACCCUGAUCCAGCCAUCCCGCGUGUAUGAGAAGGCCUUCGGGUUGUAAAGUACUUUUGGCAGAGAAGCGGUAACUGCAGAAUACGCACCGGCUCACUACGCGACAGCAGCCGCGGUAAUUC